rnacentral:lncRNA from 1 species
GCCUGCUAUCGAUCCUCGACAGCCUGUCUCUGCACUUCCAUCAGUCGAGCCUGGCAUGCAGAAUGGAUCUCAGCCCUAGAUGAUCAUGAGGAUGAAGGAGUAGUGAUCCCAUGUCCUAGACCCCUAACAUAACAGGGUCUCGUACCGAGCAUUCGAUCACAGAUCUUAUCAUCUGUGGGUGCGAUCGAGCCCUCAGGGGUAGGUUGGGAUCUCAUGUCGGUCAUACGAUCCUGAAAAUAAAAAUUAAAGUUAUUUUAAUUUUUUAAUAAAAAUC